CACGUAGGGCGCAAGCGUUUGUCCGGAAUUAUUGGGCGUAAAAGAGCUCGUAGGUGGUUUGUUACGUCUGCUGUGAAAACCUAGGGCUUAACCCUGGGCUUGCAGUGGAUACGGGCAGACUAGAGGUAGGUAGGGGAGAAUGGAAUUCCUGGUGUAGCGGUGAAAUGCGCAGAUAUCAGGAGGAACACCGGUGGCGAAGGCGGGUCUCUGGGCCGUAACUGACGCUGAGGAGCGAAAGCAUGGGGAGCGAACAGG
rnacentral:rRNA from 1 species